ACAUAUAGCCAUAUCACCCUGCAGCCCAAGACCGGUUACUCACUAAAGCUAAGCAGGGCUGAGCCUGGUUAGUACCUGGAUGGGAGACCACUAGGGAACACUAGGUUGCUGUUGGAA
rnacentral:rRNA from 1 species